rnacentral:rRNA from 1 species
UACCAGCUCUCCGAGUUGUAGGGAUGAUUAUUGGGCUUAAAGCGUCCGUAGCUGGCUUAGCAAGUCUCCUGUUAAAUUCAGCGACCUAAUCGUUGAGCCGCGGGAGAUACUACUAGGCUAGGAGGCGGGAGAGGUCGACGGUACUUUCGGGGUAGGGGUGAAAUCCUAUAAUCCCGGGAGGACCACCAGUGGCGAAGGCUGUCGACUAGAACGCGCUCGACGGUGAGGGACGAAAGCUGGGGGAGCGAACCGGAUUAGAUACCCGGGUAGUCCCAGCUGUAAACGAUGCGAGCUAGGUGUUGGGGUGGCUACGUGCCACUUCAGUGCCGCAGGGAAGCCAUUAAGCUCGCCGCCUGGGGAGUACGGCCGCAAGGCUGAAACUUAAAGGAAUUGGCGGGGAGCACCACAAGGCGUGAAGCUUGCGGUUC